rnacentral:rRNA from 1 species
UGUGUAGGUGGUGUCGUAAGUUUGGUGUGAAAUCUCCCGGCUUAACUGGGAGGGUGCGCCGAAGACUGCGAUGCUGGAGUAUGGGAGAGGAAAGCGGAAUUCCUGGUGUAGCGGUGAAAUGCGUAGAUAUCAGGAGGAACACCCGCGGUGUAGACGGCUUUCUGGACCAUUACUGACACUGAGACACGAAAGCGUGGGUAACAAACA